rnacentral:lncRNA from 1 species
CCGCUUGCGCAGGGUCUGGGGAAGGGUCCGACCACUUUGGGUCUAUUGUACGCAGCCUUUCCCUACAUUACUGCAAGAGGCUGUUUCCAGGACUUGAACCCGUGACCUCAUGGUCACAAGGCAGCAGCUUUACCACUGCGCCAAGGCUCCCCUUCAGUUGUUAACUGAAACAAUAAUGUUAAUUUUUGUUGUUAGCUAAAACAAUAAUGUUAAUUUUUGUUAACUACAAACUGUCUUGGACAUUGGUUUUUUCAAAUUAACUCCGUGUUGAACUGGUUCUUCUUGUUGUGUGCUGCAGCCCAGCAAUCUGUUCAUGCCAAAUGAUUGAGUCCUGGUGAGGUUCAUUGCUGGACAUGCAUGGUCUCCGCAGGCAAGGUAUUCGAAGCUGCCCUUUGGUCGCUUUUGUUUUAUUUCCAAAGAGCUGCAAAACCUCAAAAGGAAAUUUUUGUAUUGAUGUGAUUAGCAAGUGUAUUUAACAAUGCAUAUAUGUACGCGAGUUAUGUGUAGUGCUGAAUCUGAUGUGGCUGAACUAUCUUCAAUUUAUGAAGACCUAUUUUCCUUUUUAGCAUUUUGUACGAACAAUAUACUUAUAAUCAGUGUGGAGUUUAUUGUAAUUUUAGUUGUUCUCUCAUAAGUAGAGGCAUGCUUUACUGCAUUUAUGACCACAAUCUUCAAUUGCCUGACCCCAACAACAAAACUCAUGAUAGCUACAAUGUAUUUGUUUUGUGUAUUUUGGAUUUGUUCCUCUAUGGCUACAUUAUCACAGCUUUCUCCUUACAUUUAAAGAUGAAUCUAAAAGAUGUGACUCCCUUAGAGUAGCUUAAUGAUAAAUUAUUUCCUCCCCCUCCCUCUUUGUCAGAAAAUGCUGGUACCGUCUUCUACUUUAUGUAGUCAAGAAGAAAACCCAUUUUCACUUAACUUGGUUACUCUAUUCAGGAACACAUAAAAGUAAUUCAGCGUGUUAUCAGAAACUCAUGAGCAUGAAAGAGAAAUUUGGAUCAUGUUCGAACAUGGUAGAGAGCAGAUCGAGGAGAACUUGAAGAUUAAAGGCAAUGAAAGGUAUGUGCCUAUAACCAUCAUAUUUUUAUGUUGAAUAUUCACUAGCUGGUAUGUGCUGAUUUCGGACGAAGUAAAGCCUGACAUCAUUGGUCAGUGAGGUAUAACGAAAAUAAUCAUUCUGGUGAAAGUACAUGCAAGAUAAUAAAGAACUUCUCCUUCUUAGGAGCAUGCAUAGUUUGAAUUAAUCUUUCAAACUGAUUAGGAAGUAGAGAUAGUAUAUACUUUAUAUCUCAGGGAAUGCAAGAGAAGUACUUGCGCGGCAACGAAGGAAGACUUGCUAAUUACAGGGCAAAGUACUCUAUAGUGGUAUUUCCAGAUUAAAAGUUUAGCGGUGCUAAUUUCGGUAUCUACAUAGAACAAAGCCUAUAAUAGAAAAGCGUCAAUGGAUUUAAGAUACGGGAGGAUUCUGGAUAGUUGGCCUCACCGGAAAUAGAGGCGCUCGGUUGUGCUCGACGCGGAUACGAUAGUAAGAUAUCAAAUAAAUCACAAUUUUAUAUUCAUUUACUUAUUAUCAUGGGAUUCGAUGCCACAUUAUAAUUAACGUAUCUGCAUGUAUAUUUUUGACAUCGAAUUACAGAUUGGUCGUCAAGUGGCUCAGGCUGUAGGGUGUAGGCAUCGACGUACAAAGAUCACGACAAUAAGUAAACAUACAUUCUGCAUUGGGCCGCAUCAUAAAUAUAUUUCUCUAAUGUAGAACACUUAGUGGAGUCUAGUUUUACAAGAACGAAGUGACCAAGGCAGUGUGCAAUAUUUGUGCAGAAAAACAUAGCGAAGAGGUUUAGAUGUAGUAGAUCAUUGAUUACAAAACAACAAAAGAAUAAUAUACAUAAGCAAACCAUCAAAACGAAAAAUAAUGUCACAUACAACAAAAUUUGGCAACUUGCAAAGUCACAAAUCCGAGGCAAUAUUAUUAAUACUUGCCUUGUACUAUAAACAUAAUAAAGUUCAAUUGCAAACAUCGAAAGAUAGAGAUAUGUACAAAGACACCAAAAAGCACCAAAUUACAUGUAGGGCAACCUGGUGCAUGUAGCUCCCGCUUGCGCAGGGUCCAGGGAAGGGUCCGACCACUUUGGGUCUAUAGUACGCAGCCUUUCCCUACAUUUCUGUAAGAGGCUGUUUCCAGGACUUGAACCCAUGACCUCAUGGUCACAAGGCAGCAGCUUUACCACUGCGCCAAGGCUCCCCUUCCACCAAAUUACAUGUAGCAUAAGAGUAAAUCCUCUCACAUAUUUAAGAGCGGACUUCAGCCUGUAAGGACUUCCUUAUAGACGAUGUUCUUCAUCGAGGUCUGUAAGGACAAGGCGGGUCUUUUUCGCUUCUUAGAUUUACCGCUUUGCUUCUUGGCAUUCUCCUUCUCCUUCUCCUUCUCAAUGAGGAUCUUUAUAUUUCUCUUUGCGGUGGCUCGAGACAAUGCGACAUAGAGUUGACCAUGAGAGAACACCGGAUUAGGUAGGUACACGCCAACAAUCGGAAUCGUCUGGCCUUGAGCCUUGUUAAUCGUCAUAGCAAAGCUAAGCCUUACAGGAAAUUGCUUCCUCUUGAACUUGAAUGGAAACAUGUCGUUGUCAGAUGGGCAUAGGGGUAUUCGAGGAAGGAAUACCCUCCUACCUACGUGUUGUCCGAUCACGAUUUCUGCAUCGAUGGCGUUCCUCUCGAAACCUCGCACCACAAGCCUCGUCCCGUUACACAGACCAUUAGCCGGAUCAAUGUUCCUCAGAAGUAUGACAGGGCAGUUGAGCUUUAGUUUGAGUGCAUGCGGAGGCAGACCGUUAGGAGUCAAUCCAUUUAGGAACUCAGGAGCGUAGUAGCCAUACGAGUCGUCUUCUGCACUGUCAAAGCUAUGGUAGAUUACUCCUUCUCCCCGAAAACGCUCUACCAUGCGUAUGUUUAUCUUGUCGACGUUGUCGUUCGUGGUGGAGAGGAUUGCGCGUGAAGUCAUGUAAUUCGGAUCGGACUGGUUGUCAUCUAGUCUCGGAAAAUCAUGGUCAAUCAGCUUCUCCAGGUCGUCACCCUCGCCUGUAGAUGGCACACAAAUAUCUUCAGGGAGUCGUAUGUUUCCUUGAUCGUCAACUUCCUCGGUACCAUUGCCUACCCUUAGCAAGUAAUCGGCAAACCAGGUGUCAUUAUGAGCCCUCAUGUUGGUGACGAGCCUUAGCUGGCGCAUACCCUUCCAGAGGUGUGAACUUCGGAGGGUUGCAUCGAUUAUCUGACCCCGGGACCCCCUCCUGACGACGGGAAGCACCUGCCUGAAGUCCCCGCCAAACACAACAGUUUUUCCUCCAAAGGGUCGGUCUCGUCUUCCCAUGAUGUCGCGCAUGCUGUUGUCCAGUGCCUCGACCGCCUGUCGCUUAGUCAUGGUGGCCUCGUCCCAUAGUAUCAAUGAGGCCAUCCUCAGUAGCUUGGCGGUACCACUCUGCUUUGUGAAGGUGCAUGAGGCGCCAUCGUCGCAGCUCAAUGGGAUCUUGAACCUCGAGUGGGCAGUCCUGCCUCCAGGCAUGAUAGAAGCGGCGACGCCUGACUUCGCGGUAGCGAUAGCGAUGUUUCCCUCGCUUCGAACCUUGGCGAGCAGUGCCCUGUACAGGAAGGUCUUCCCUGUACCUCCCGGGCCAUCAACAAAGAACACACCCCCAUCACCGUGUUCAACAGAAGCUAGUAUCUCGUCGUAUGCAGCCCUCUGCUUCGAGUUUAGCGAUGAAGCCAAUUUAGUGUUGUUGAUGUCAAAAUCGAUGUUGGAUUCCUCGAUCACUUCUCUGGCCUCGCCCUCAGUUGGGUCGAAAGCAUCGUCAAUGCAUGGAAGAGCGAAAUCAGCUAUGUCUUUGCCCAUGGAUUGCAACAUACCCCUAAUGUCAAGCAACACCAUCUGUUCCACCCUAAUCAGGCACGUGUGUGAUCGCCGAUAGUCAUCAGACAUAGGCUCGAAGUGCCUAUCCCAUAAACCACGCACGUCGCCUGGCUCACAAUGCACCAAAAAUGUUGCGAAGAGCCUCCUAAGCGAACAUGGCAUCGCCCACUGCUCUAACUCGGUAAGACAGUCGUCGAGCGUGUUAUCUGCCUCGAUGAGUCCCAACCUUUCGGCAGCCUCUCUAAAGCUCCCGCAUAGCCUACCGUCGACGGUGAGCAGGUCCUCAUAGGAUGUCUUGCCAGCAACAUGGUUUAGCAGCACACGCAGAUAGUAUCGCUCCCCCUCGGCAGGAUUGGCAGACACAAUUCGACCUAUCUGAUAACGCUCCACCCGCUCUUUCCAAUACUUCUUACCCUUCUGCCAUGUGAACCUUCCAGGAACAUCCUUGUACAAUAUAUUCCUAGCCCACGAGUGGUUUUGGUUAGCUUUGAAAUACUCUGUCAACAUGGAUUUGGAAGCAUUCUCAGAGGUGACUACGUCGGUCAAGUGAGCUUGCUCAUUGAAUGCCACCUUGUGCAUAUUCGGGAGAUGAAGAGGCAACUGUAGGACAGGCGGGUCAUUAACACACAAGGGGAAGCCAAAUAUCCUCCACAUCGCCUCUGGAGGAGUAACCCACCUCGCAUCUAUGUAUCUUUUGAUCUCAUCAAUGUUACCAUCGGCGUCGGGCUGGUCGAUACUGAAAGAAGCCCUAUCAUGGCCCUUGUAUAUGUACUUGUAAAGGUAUUUGACGGCCUUUAUGCUGGAGCAAACCUCAACGUUGAUGUGGCAAUUGAACAUCCGCAGAAGGUAAGGGUUAUACGGCACAACCCAUCUGUUGUCCAACAUUUUACCCUGGGCCUUAGCCUGCCGACCAUUAUCUUGACGACGAUAAACUGGGUAUGAGUCCUUGCCCUAUGCCGUGUUUUCAUUGAACGGCCGCGGGUAUCUGCACUUGCACUCGUUCUGUUGCAUGCACACAUUUUUGGGGUUGAGAGCACCGCAUGGUCCGUGCAUCAUAUGUUUCACCACCAAGGCGUGGAGUUCAGGAUACUUCUGCUUGUCUGGGAGCUCGGCAGAAAUGAGUCGGUCGUACUGCUCCGGAACGACAAGCUUAUAGGCAGAAUCCAUGAUCAACAAAAAGUGUGCGUGGGGGAGGCCCCUCUUCUGGAACUCGACUACGUAUACAUGUGCGAUAACAACACCCAAGAUAUUCUUCUUGAACAACAUCUCUUUCAUAGCCUCUAGCUUGCCAUGGAACACACGAGCCACAAGAUCAGGUCGGUCUUGCGCUGUCUGACCAGGAAACAACUCAUUCGUUAUCUCUUCCCAGUUAGGGUUGCAGGUCAUGGUCAAGAAGAUGUCAGGCUUCCCGUAGGUAUGGACAAUUGCCAUGGCAUCCAUAUGCCUCCGCUUCAUGUCGCGGUCGCCACCUGGGUACGUUCCAGGGAGCACUAUCCUUACUCCAACAACGCUUGCCCGGGUCUCCCCGGAUGUAAUUGCAUCAACAACUCCUUUAUACAGGUCGGCACGGAUCUUUGUCUGGUUCUUCCUGUACCAUUUCAACCUACAACUCUCAAUCUUGAUGUACAUGUCCACCCCCCAUUGCUGGAGCAAUCGUGCUCCACAGAGUAUGGGAUUGAAUAUCCCAGGCCGUGUCUAGAGCAUGUAACAGUAGUAGUCUCUCACCGAGAUGCAUAACCUGCUAUUCCCCUCUGCACAUGGAUGAGUAACGCGGACAUUAGGAUUCAUAUGAGAAGUAUACAAUUCAUCUAAACGACAGAAUACGCAUAAGGCUUACCUGCAUCCUCAUCAUCAUCAUCACGUCUACCUCUUGGUUGUUGCACAACCGGCCAAGGGACAUCAUGUUUAGGAAGUUUCGGGUGCCAACCGAGCUCCCCCCUUGGGUAGAAGAGUGGGUAAGAGAGCGGGUCAUACGAGCCAGCCGUCACAUGUAUACUGUGCCUCUGGUUGUCAUUCCCGCAAAGUGUAAUCCUACGAUCGAACCUCUUCGCUAGGUCAGUGCCCUCCACCCAAAUUGCAGCGACCUCAGAUGACAGAGGUCUAUUAUACUUCCGUUGGUCUAGUCUCUGGUUAGUGUUGAGGUCUAUCCUGUAAUCGUCGAGGUUGUCUCUGUGCGCACCCAAACUCCUAAACUGCUGGGAGUACGGGUUUUCCCUGAGUAUGUCCACUAACUUUUUGACGACAUCCUGGUCUAAUUGCUUGGUGGCAGCCUUGCGAUGGGUUAGGCCUGGGUCGUCGUCGUAGAAGUACAACUGUAGAUGAUCUGGACGUGACGUUGGCCCGAAGGAAUGAACGUUGUGGUAGAUGGUGCCGUGCACCCGUAACGUGUACACCCCAGACUUCAUGUUUGUGUAGCUUUCAUCAAGGCUGACGCCGAGGGUUGUGAAGGAGAAGUGGCCGUUGAAGAACCGUAUGUUCUCCCGAAAAUGCCUUGAGUCCGCAUGCAUGCUAGACCAAAGCCUCAUUAGCUCUGGGAUGGGCUCCGGUUGCUUCAGUUGGAUCUGCCCACUGCGACAGCAGAAUCCCGGGGCCUCGGACACAAACUUCUUGGCCUUGCAGUGAUCGCAAUUUGCGGCGUGCUUCAGGAUGUGUGUGUGGUCUGGGAGGUUUGAGUAGACAUAGUCCAAUGGAUCAUGGUCGACAUAGGUAUUGUGACUUGAGUCUUCCAAUUCGUCGUGCUCCAUGUCAUCAGCAUCUGAGCCUACAAACAAUGUUUAAAAUUAGUCUGAUAUUCCCAACGGGUGGAUGUUGCUCAAGUGGGUGUACAUACCUUCACCAGCAAACAGGUAAUACUCAUCGUUAAAGAGGCUGUCAGGGUUGACAUUAUCAUUCAUGAGACGACUAAGGUAAGCGUCCAUGUCGUCUGCUCAGGUGAGAAACCAAUAAAUGAGGGUUCAGUCUCAAGGGACGCAAGGAGAGUAAGGAUGGGAGUGUUACCUUCACUUUUGAUCGUGUACUCCGGUGUGCUAGAUGAGGUCGAGGCACCGUGUGCUUCCAAUACGGUAGGUUGUCCACUUGAGCUCAUUUCCGGUAUGGAGAUGGACCUGACGGUUGGGGUCUUCACCCUACCUGCAAACCUUUCAUUACGCCGAUCUAGUAGAGCAUUCCUCUCACCACGUGGUACCUUCGGUGAUGUUUUUUGCUUGCCAAUUUUCUCCUGACGCUUCUUCGCCGCCAUACUUCCCUUGCAAGCUCGCUCUCUUGUCCUACGCCGAGCUCUAGACUCAUGACCCUGCUCGUCCGCUCCAUUAUCCGCUAUUGUUAUCGGAUCACUGGUUAGCUGGUCGACACUUUUUAGGUGAUCAUCGAUUUUGACUGGGUCGUCAUCUACAACCCCGUCACCGAAGGUUCUACUUAGGUAGGCACCUGCAACAUUUUUGAGUUGUCAUAAACAACUAUUGAAUGUUUACAAAAUAAAAGCUGGUUCAUGAUGCGAUAAGUACCAUCGUUUUCGGUGUUUCGAAUGUAUGCGGGGCUCUUGGUGACAGUAGGAGCACGGUCAAUUUGUUCACCAUGGGAUUGUUGCCCAGGAUCCAACAUGAGGAUAUUAUCGUCAGCGUACUGGUACAGUAGGCGGCUGCACCGAUACGGAGCAAGUAAAUAUUUGUUUAAUGCAUACUAACAUAAGAUGUGGAGUACACAGGCGAGGAAUACCGUAAGAUUUGAAGGUGUGACCGCAUGUGCUCGCCGUAGCUGAGGUUGCUAAAUCAGGACGAGGCAUCGCGAUGGAUUCAUCACACGGGGUGUUUCGGAUAGCUUUCUCCCGCUGUCGGUGCUGAGCACUAAUCUCCCCUUUCUGCUCUGGUGUUAAGCUAUCUCGAUGUUUCUGAUCCGUUUCCCAUCUUUGCGUGUUUACUUGUUCCUUCUUCAUCUCGUAAGCGGCUCGCCUCUUUGCGUUUAUAAUAUCUAAUGUGUUUGUGUCCUUUGGUGUCUUCAUCUCAUAAGCUGCUCGUCUUUGUGUGUUCAACUUAUCCUUUAGUUCUUGGUACCCUUCCUCUUCUAUUUUCUUUUUAUAAGUUGCUCGUCUCCGUGCGUUUAUGACAUCAUUUUUUUUCCAUUGAUAAUGUCCCUUUACGUUGUCCCUCACAGCCCCUUAUAGCUGGACCUGUUGUUGUAGGUCUAUACACAUUAGCAUCCGAACCAGAACAAUCAAGUUCAAAGCUCUCAUGGUUGACUGGAGGUACAACAGUAAUACUCCCUCCGUCCCAAAAUAAGUGAAUCAACUUUGUACUUAUUUCUGUUUCGAUGUUUGUAGAAAAUCAAAGGAGGUGCGAGUUCGGAAGUAAUACUUGGACUACCUAUGGGGAGUUCUAUGGUUGACAUAGAGGGGAUUGUUGCUUCAUGUAUAAUUAGGCCGCUCAAUGGUUGUGGGUCAGCUGCAAUGGCUUGCGAAAGGAAUUGUUCAAAUUAGUAAAAAUUCAAUAUGAAAGGCAUUUAAAGAUUGUCUCAGAGUUAUACCUAGACUCCCUUUGGGUAGUUCAAUGGUUGAGGGUGAUGGGGUUGGUGCUUCGCGAAUAAACAGUCCGCUUGAUGGUUGUGGGUCAGAUCGGUUGUCUUGCGAAAGGGACUUUGCUAAUUAGUAAGAAACAUAAUUGAAGGUGAAUUACUAAAAACAAUACACAUAUUCCAUAUACCUGGACCCUCUUUGGGGAGUAUAUUAACAUUGGUGUCUUCACCAAGAGUGAGUCGGAGGCCAUUUGUCGCAUCCAUCUGUCGCUGUUGGUCUUCCUGCUGUUUCUUCUUCUGAUAAGAUUCUCGUCUCUUUGUGUUCAACUUAUCCUUUUGUUCUUGGUACCCUUGCUCUUCUUUUUUCUUCUUAUAAGUUGCUCUUCUCCGUGCGUUAAUGACAUCCCUUUCUUCCUUUGAUAAGGUCCCUUUACGUUGGCCAGCACGGCCCCUCGUAGCUCCAACUGUUGUUGUAGGUAUACACACAUUAGCAUCCGAUUUUGAAGAGUAAUAGUAUUUCUGGAUAAAAUCAUGCACCACCAGGGUUGCAAUAUAUUAAUUAUAUACCAAACCAGAUUACUCGCAACAAUCCCCUCUGAUGGAUUAAAUUUACCGCUUCAUUAUAUUUAGAAAUCUGAAGGAGGUGUGAGUUCGGAAGCUAUACCUGGACUACCUUUGUGGUGUUCUAUGGUUGACGCAGAGGGGAUUGGUGCUUCAUGUAUAAUCAGGCUGCUCGAUGGUCGUGGGUCAGAUGCAACGGCUUGCGAAAGGGAUUGUUCAAAUUAGUAAUGACCAAUAUCGAAGGCAUUUAAAUAUUGUUAAUG